rnacentral:misc_RNA from 1 species
GUUCGAGCGCCAUUUUCACCAUCGAGCCCUGCUCGGAGAUGGGCCUCGUCCUCGCGGACGGGCCCGAAACCCGUGGGCGCCUUCGUCUGGCCCUGAGCGUAGCAAGAGAAAUCCCUCGCUCGGUGGACCGUCCGACGGCCGCCCCGACCAUUUUUUACAAGAUUGGCCUCGGAUCAGGUGGGGAUACCCGCUGAACUUAA